rnacentral:rRNA from 1 species
UACAGAGGGGGCAAGCGUUGUUCGGAAUUACUGGGCGUAAAGGGCGCGUAGGCGGCCCUCUAAGUCAGACGUGAAAUCCCUCGGCUCAACCGGGGAACUGCGUCUGAGACUGGGGGGCUUGAAUCCGGGAGAGGGAUGUGGAAUUCCAGGUGUAGCGGUGAAAUGCGUAGAUAUCUGGAGGAACACCGGUGGCGAAGGCGGCAUCCUGGACCGGUAUUGACGCUGAGGCGCGAAAGCCAGGGGAGCAAACGGG